AUUGAACGCUGGCGGCAGGCCUAACACAUGCAAGUCGAGCGGAGCGGCUGACGGGUGAGUAAUGCCUAGGAAUCUGCCUGGUCGUGGGGGAUAACGUCCGGCAACGGGCGCUAAUACCGCAUCCUAUCAGUUUAGCCUAGGUCGGCUUAGCUCGUUGGUGGGGUAAAGGCCUACCAAGGCGACGAUCCGUAACUGGGCUGAGAGGAUGAGCAGUCACACUGGAACUGAGACACGGUCCAGACGCCUACGGGAUGCAGCAGUGGGGAAUAUUGGACAAUGGGCGAAAGCCUGAUCCAGCCAUGCCGCGUGUGUGAAGAAGGUCUUCGGAUUGUAAAGCACUUUAAGUUGGGAGGCGUUACCAACAGAAUAAGCACCGGCUAACUUCGUGCCAGCAGCCGCGGUAAUAC
rnacentral:rRNA from 1 species